GACGAAGGUGGCGAGCGUUGUUCGGAAUCACUGGGCAUAAAGCGCACGUAGGCGGCGACGUAAGUUGGGUGUGAAAUCCCUCGGCCCAACCGAGGAACUGCGCUCAGUACUGCGUUGCUUGAGGAUCCAAGGGGUGCAUGGAAUUCCCGGUGGAGCGGUGAAAUGCGUAGAUAUCAGGAGGAACACCUGCGGUGUAGACGGCUUUCUGGACCAUUGUUGACGCUGAGACACGAAAGCGUGGGUAGCAAACAGG
rnacentral:rRNA from 1 species